rnacentral:rRNA from 1 species
GGACGGUAGCACAGAGGAGCUUGCUCCUCGGGUGACGAGUGGCGGACGGGUGAGUAAUGUCUGGGGAUCUGCCCGAUAGAGGGGGAUAACCACUGGAAACGGUGGCUAAUACCGCAUAACGUCGCAAGACCAAAGAGGGGGACCUUCGGGCCUCUCACUAUCGGAUGAACCCAGAUGGGAUUAGCUAGUAGGCGGGGUAAUGGCCCACCUAGGCGACGAUCCCUAGCUGGUCUGAGAGGAUGACCAGCCACACUGGAACUGAGACACGGUCCAGACUCCUACGGGAGGCAGCAGUGGGGAAUAUUGCACAAUGGGCGCAAGCCUGAUGCAGCCAUGCCGCGUGUAUGAAGAAGGCCUUCGGGUUGUAAAGUACUUUCAGCGGGGAGGAAGGUGGUGCGGUUAAUAACCGCGCCGAUUGACGUUACCCGCAGAAGAAGCACCGGCUAACUCCGUG